UGGUUUAUGGAUCUAGUGUU
rnacentral:snRNA from 1 species